UCUACCAAAGGAAAAUAGAUAUCCACUGGUCUUAGGAACCAAAACCCUUGGUGCAAA
rnacentral:tRNA from 1 species